rnacentral:rRNA from 1 species
AGCGUACACGGUGGAUGCCCUGGCAGUCAGAGGCGAUGAAGGACGUGCUAAUCUGCGAUAAGCGUCGGUAAGGUGAUAUGAACCGUUAUAACCGGCGAUUUCCGAAUGGGGAAACCCAGUGUGAUUCGUCACACUAUCAUUAACUGAAUCCAUAGGUUAAUGAGGCGAACCGGGGGAACUGAAACAUCUAAGUACCCCGAGGAAAAGAAAUCAACCGAGAUUCCCCCAGUAGCGGCGAGCGAACGGGGAGCAGCCCAGAGCCUGAAUCAGUGUGUGUGUUAGUGGAAGCGUCUGGAAAGGCGUGCGAUACAGGGUGACAGCCCCGUACACAAAAAUGCACAUGCUGUGAGCUCGAUGAGUAGGGCGGGACACGUGGUAUCCUGUCUGAAUAUGGGGGGACCAUCCUCCAAGGCUAAAUACUCCUGACUGACCGAUAGUGAACCAGUACCGUGAGGGAAAGGCGAAAAGAACCCCGGCGAGGGGAGUGAAAAAGAACCUGAAACCGUGUACGUACAAGCAGUGGGAGCACAGAGCAAUCUGUGUGACUGCGUACCUUUUGUAUAAUGGGUCAGCGACUUAUAUUCUGUAGCAAGGUUAACCGAAUAGGGGAGCCGAAGGGAAACCGAGUCUUAACUGGGCGUUAAGUUGCAGGGUAUAGACCCGAAACCCGGUGAUCUAGCCAUGGGCAGGUUGAAGGUUGGGUAACACUAACUGGAGGACCGAACCGACUAAUGUUGAAAAAUUAGCGGAUGACUUGUGGCUGGGGGUGAAAGGCCAAUCAAACCGGGAGAUAGCUGGUUCUCCCCGAAAGCUAUUUAGGUAGCGCCUCGUGAAUUCAUCUCCGGGGGUAGAGCACUGUUUCGGCAAGGGGGUCAUCCCGACUUACCAACCCGAUGCAAACUGCGAAUACCGGAGAAUGUUAUCACGGGAGACACACGGCGGGUGCUAACGUCCGUCGUGAAGAGGGAAACAACCCAGACCGCCAGCUAAGGUCCCAAAGUCAUGGUUAAGUGGGAAACGAUGUGGGAAGGCCCAGACAGCCAGGAUGUUGGCUUAGAAGCAGCCAUCAUUUAAAGAAAGCGUAAUAGCUCACUGGUCGAGUCGGCCUGCGCGGAAGAUGUAACGGGGCUAAACCAUGCACCGAAGCUGCGGCAGCGACGCUUAUGCGUUGUUGGGUAGGGGAGCGUUCUGUAAGCCUGCGAAGGUGUGCUGUGAGGCAUGCUGGAGGUAUCAGAAGUGCGAAUGCUGACAUAAGUAACGAUAAAGCGGGUGAAAAGCCCGCUCGCCGGAAGACCAAGGGUUCCUGUCCAACGUUAAUCGGGGCAGGGUGAGUCGACCCCUAAGGCGAGGCCGAAAGGCGUAGUCGAUGGGAAACAGGUUAAUAUUCCUGUACUUGGUGUUACUGCGAAGGGGGGACGGAGAAGGCUAUGUUGGCCGGGCGACGGUUGUCCCGGUUUAAGCGUGUAGGCUGGUUUUCCAGGCAAAUCCGGAAAACUAAGGCUGAGGCGUGAUGACGAGGCACUACGGUGCUGAAGCAACAAAUGCCCUGCUUCCAGGAAAAGCCUCUAAGCAUCAGGUAACAUCAAAUCGUACCCCAAACCGACACAGGUGGUCAGGUAGAGAAUACCAAGGCGCUUGAGAGAACUCGGGUGAAGGAACUAGGCAAAAUGGUGCCGUAACUUCGGGAGAAGGCACGCUGAUAUGUAGGUGAAGUCCCUCGCGGAUGGAGCUGAAAUCAGUCGAAGAUACCAGCUGGCUGCAACUGUUUAUUAAAAACACAGCACUGUGCAAACACGAAAGUGGACGUAUACGGUGUGACGCCUGCCCGGUGCCGGAAGGUUAAUUGAUGGGGUCAGCGCAAGCGAAGCUCUUGAUCGAAGCCCCGGUAAACGGCGGCCGUAACUAUAACGGUCCUAAGGUAGCGAAAUUCCUUGUCGGGUAAGUUCCGACCUGCACGAAUGGCGUAAUGAUGGCCAGGCUGUCUCCACCCGAGACUCAGUGAAAUUGAACUCGCUGUGAAGAUGCAGUGUACCCGCGGCAAGACGGAAAGACCCCGUGAACCUUUACUAUAGCUUGACACUGAACAUUGAGCCUUGAUGUGUAGGAUAGGUGGGAGGCUUUGAAGUGUGGACGCCAGUCUGCAUGGAGCCGACCUUGAAAUACCACCCUUUAAUGUUUGAUGUUCUAACGUUGACCCGUGAUCCGGGUUGCGGACAGUGUCUGGUGGGUAGUUUGACUGGGGCGGUCUCCUCCUAAAGAGUAACGGAGGAGCACGAAGGUUGGCUAAUCCUGGUCGGACAUCAGGAGGUUAGUGCAAUGGCAUAAGCCAGCUUGACUGCGAGCGUGACGGCGCGAGCAGGUGCGAAAGCAGGUCAUAGUGAUCCGGUGGUUCUGAAUGGAAGGGCCAUCGCUCAACGGAUAAAAGGUACUCCGGGGAUAACAGGCUGAUACCGCCCAAGAGUUCAUAUCGACGGCGGUGUUUGGCACCUCGAUGUCGGCUCAUCACAUCCUGGGGCUGAAGUAGGUCCCAAGGGUAUGGCUGUUCGCCAUUUAAAGUGGUACGCGAGCUGGGUUUAGAACGUCGUGAGACAGUUCGGUCCCUAUCUGCCGUGGGCGCUGGAGAACUGAGGGGGGCUGCUCCUAGUACGAGAGGACCGGAGUGGACGCAUCACUGGUGUUCGGGUUGUCAUGCCAAUGGCACUGCCCGGUAGCUAAAUGCGGAAGAGAUAAGUGCUGAAAGCAUCUAAGCACGAAACUUGCCCCGAGAUGAGUUCUCCCUGACUCCUUGA